rnacentral:rRNA from 1 species
GUCGAGCGCGGGAGCGAGUGGAUCCCUUCGGGGUGAACUCGUGGAACGAGCGGGGGACGGGUGAGUAUCACGUGGGCAACCUGCCUGUGAGAUCGGAAUAUCCCCGGGAAACCGGGGCUAAUGCCGGGUAAUACUUUCUUUCUCAUGAAGGAAAGUUGAAAGAUGGCUUCUUGCUAUCACUUACAGAUGGGCCCCCGGCGCACUAUCUAUUUGGUGAGGUAACGGCUCACCAAGGCGACAAUACGUAUCCCACCUGAGAGGGGGAUCGGCCACACUGGGACUGAGACACGGCCCACACUCCUACGGGAGGCAGCAGUAGGGAAUCUUCCCCAAUGGACAAAAGUCUGACAGAGCAACGCCCCGUGAACGAUAAAAGUCUUCUGAUCGUAAAGUUCUGUUGUUAGGGAAAAACAAGUACCGUGCGAAUAUAGCGGUACCUUGACGGUACCUAACGAGGAAACCCCGGCUAACUACAUGCCACCAGCCGCGGUAAUACAUAUGGGGCAAGCGUUGUCCGGAAUUAUUGUGCGUAUAGCGCGCGCACGCGGUUCCUUAUGUCUGAUGUGAAAGCCCACGGCUCACCCGUGUAGGGUCAUUGUAAACUGGGGAACUUGAGGACAGAGGAGGAGAGUGUAAUUCCACGUGUAUCGGUGAAAUGCGUAUAUAUGUGUAGGAACACCA